rnacentral:lncRNA from 1 species
UGUCCUCCAUGGGUCUUGCCUCAGCAUGUGUCUUGAGUCAGCACAAGAGUCUAUCUUAGCUGACAUCACUCUUCCAAUCAGCCCGAGUCUGUGCACGUGGCCAGAAGCUGCAGCACACCAACAGAAGCAUUUUCGGUGUGUUUGUCUUUAUGGAGUCCCAGCAAACGCAGCUCAACUACACAAUGUAAGGCAGACCAAUAUAUGUGUGUCAUUAGCAAAGACUCGUUCAUCACAUGUCCUCUCAUGUGCUUGUUUUAGUAGAACAUCAUCUCUUCUGUGUCUGCUUCAGCCAAAUGUUCCUUCCCCUGUGUCCACCUCAGGAAAACACUUCUUCACUCGUUUGCCCCAGCAAAACACCAUCCGACCAACUUUCCAAAGACACCCUUAAGUUCACAUUUCACUUGCCCACUCUUACCCUUGGUUUCCAGGAUGUAUGAUGGAAGGGAUGAUCUGUCAGAAAGGGCUGGAGCCACACAAUGACAAGGAGCUGCCCCCUUAACAUGGAGCAGUUGUGCUAGCUGUAAAGGCGACUUGAUGUUGUUUUCUGAGCCUCGGUUUCCUUCUCUGUUAACCAGGAAUUGUAGAACUCUCAAGAUGAGAAGCUGAUGAGAAUGAAAGUGGGCAAGGACCCAUCAAUUAUAAAACACCACCGAGAUGGGAAGUGUCAUGAUGAUUUAUUUAUAAAGACCCAAGGGUUGUCCAAAGAUGUAUUUUUCUGCAUCUUAAUUCCUGCAUCUCUUCUUUGGGACACCUCAUCUCCCCUUAAUACCUCCCUGUGCUGGUACAGCCUCUCCUGCUGAUCUCUAAAUUAGCACAUCCUCCAUCCACUCCCCUCCAGAGAAUUUCAAUUCCUUUAAUCCAAUGAAAUGAGAAGUUCAGGCCAUCAUCUUCAAAGAAUAAGAAUAAAAUUUGGGGACCAAAAUUAUACCCAUCGGGAUUGCCUCUGUAGAAACACUUUGGAAUUCUUUUUCAUGCCCUAUUAAAUAAUUAAAAUGUUUCUUUUUC